UAACUCAGGCGCGCCCUGCGACGACGCUGCCUGGUCCCGGCGUGGCCGUAUCGUGCGGCCUCAGGACACGGCCGUUCACAGGAGACCCUGACGGAGAGACGACAGCCUGGCGAUGGCAGGAACUUCCCGGAUAGCCAGGCGGCGUUCUUUGGCGCUCCGUGUGGAUCCUCCCCAGCGGGCAUCCGAGAGCUGAGUCGAAGGCUACCACCCGCAGAGGGGAUGAAAGCGGGGUGCCGGGUCGGGACUUGUGACCUGGGAUAUUUGAGUCAGCUUUGGGGACGGGGAGGUCCAGGCUGUGGCCCCUUAGGCCGCACGGUGGGAGAGCCUCACUUUUGUUCACAGUGCUGAGGUGUGCAGGACAGAGCAGCCUCGGGGUGCAUCGUUUCACUUGUCCAUUGUGCCUUCUGUGUUUUUUGUGCCUCUUGUGUUGUAUGUGCCUUCCCUUAUCCCUUCUGGGGGCUUACCAGAAACCCCAGCAUCACUUAUAGCAUCUCCAAUCUCUGGGCUCCUUGGCUUGGCAGCUCUCAGAGGCCUUGGAAUCGCGUCUCUUUUGACAAGCAUCCGAUCGGAUGUCUUUUAGACCUCUUGUUCUGAGCUGUGUCAACAGCCGUGCGCCGCGAGGAUCCAUUGUUGCGGCUUAGGACUUGAAGAAACGCAAAGAUAGGUAGG
rnacentral:lncRNA from 1 species